GAUGAAGAACGUAGCGAAAUGCGAUACUUGGUGUGAAUUGCAGAAUCACGUGAACCAUCGAGUCUUUGAACGCAAGUUGCGCCUCAAGCCAUUAGGUUGAGGGCACGUCUGCCUGGGCGUCACAUAUCGUUGCCUGAUGCCAGUUUCCUCGUGAUGGGUGACUGUGCAGGGCGAAUGAUGGCUUCCCGUGAGCAUUGUUGCCUCAUGGUUGGCUGAAAAUUGAGUCCUUGGUAGGGAGCGCCGUGAUAGAUGGUGGUUGAGUGACGAACGAGACCCAAUCAUGUGAGACCCCUACCGAAUUUGGCCUUCAUGACCCACAUGCGUCUUUGGAACGCUCAUGACGAGACCUCAGGUCAGGCGGGGCUACCCGCUGAGUUUAAGCAUAUCAAUAAGCGGAGGA
rnacentral:misc_RNA from 1 species